rnacentral:rRNA from 1 species
CGACAUGGGCGCAGCCUGAUCCAGCCAUACCGCGUGGGUGAGAAGGCCUUCGGGUUGUAAAGCCCUUUUGUUGGGAAAGAAAUCCAGCUGGUUAAUACCCGGUUGGGAUGACGGUACCCAAAGAAUAAGCACCGGCUAACUUCGUGCCAGCAGCCGCGGUAAUAA